rnacentral:lncRNA from 1 species
UGGCUGAAUCUGUCAGUAUUAAAACUCUUCUGUAUUGCUGGAGUAAGGAAAAGAAACCAGGUAACACUUGCUUUCUAUAAAAGGUAAAUUGAUUAAACUGUCUGUAGAACAACAAGAAUUUUUGUAAUUUCAGGAGAAAUGGGACUGCUAAACAUCACCUCAACAUAAGGAGGUUUCUGUAACUGAAAAAGAAGACUUGUUUUCCAACUGUCAUAUUGGUCUUCAUCAGACAGUUCACCAACUGUGUUCUCAUUGCCUCUCUUACUUCAGAAGAAAACAUUUGUUUAAUUUCAUGAAGUCACCUUGCCACUAAAAGAAAUAAAUAUUGCCAGGCACACAGAAUGGUCUUUGCAUGACUUAUUGCUCUUGUGGUCUUAAAACAGUCCUGCUGAACUAUGGAAAGAGAAACCCCAGGACUUCCACUCUUCAAUGGUCUUGUCAAAG